AGCACUAUAUUUAAACCGAUGAUGGGAUUUUCCCCAUUUUUGGUUACGCUGUAGUGCAAAAGAAUUCCUGGCUCUUCGUGUUGCACAGCUGUUAUAUGGCACUCAGUGGUUGCUGUAUAGAGUCAAGGAACAUGA
ensembl:snoRNA